AGGUACUGCUCUCGGUGGGUGCGCGUGGUCCCGGAGCGCUGUCACACGUGGUCGCCCACAGGUGGACCAGACUGAAGUUCAUUCGGUCUGCGGUGCGCAUGGUGCGACGGUAUCACCUGAGUGGCAUCGACCUUGAGUGGGAGUUCCCGGAGUGGUUCAGCGGACACGUCGGUGACCGGUACCUGUUCAGGCUUCUCUUACAGGACUUCCGCACAUACAUGAACGAGACGAACAAGGCCUUCCUGCUGACUGCCAGUGUUUCCGCCGUUCCAGCGGUCACGGUAUCCGCCUACGACGUGCGG
rnacentral:lncRNA from 1 species